UUUUCACAAGUUGGUUCGUCUCUUUCUGAACGAUGAAUGUUUCUGCCGCGCGUUCUGGUUGUGUUACUCGUUUAUUCGGGUUGCCCCAGUCGCCGGCACGUUUACUUUGAGCAAAAGCCAGUGAUCAAAGCAGGCCGUAAGGCCCGAAGUCUCGUGCAUAGAAUGAUGGGAGAUAACCGCCUUGAUUAUGUUAUCAUUCAAGAAUGAUUUUCAUAAUUCUUGGCGGUAAAUGAUUAAUAGGGACGGACGAGGGCAUUCGUACUGUGGCGCGAGGGGUGAAAUCCAAUGACCGUCGCAUGACGACCAAAGGCGAAGGCAUUUGCCAAGAAUGUUUUCGUUAAUCAAGAACGAAAGUCAGAGGUUCGAAGGCGAUUAGAUACCGCCCUAGUUCUGACCGUAAACCAUGCCAACCAGCGAUCUGUCGAGUUUUUGUUAAGGACUCGUACAGGCAGCUUCCUUUGACGGGAAACCGAAGAGUUCGGGUUCCGGGGGGAGUAUGGUUGCAAAGCUGAAACUUAAAGGAAUUGACGGAGGGGCACCACCAGGAGUGGAGCCUGCGGCUUAAUUUGACUCAACACGGGAAAACUCACCAGGGCCUGACACCGUUUAGAUUGACAGAUUGAGAGCUCUUUCUUGAUUCCGUGGGUGGUGGUGCAUGGCCGUCGGAAGUUGGUGGAGUGAUCAGUCAGGUCAACUCCCGUAACGAACGAAACUCUAGCCUGCUAAAUAGAGCGCCCAGCCAUUUACAUG
rnacentral:rRNA from 1 species